GUUGACCUCGGAUCAGGUAGGAAUACCCGCUGAACUUAAGCAUAUCAAUAAGCGGAGGAAAAGAAACCAACAGGGAUUGCCUUAGUAACGGCGAGUGAAGCGGCAAUAGCUCAAAUUUGAAAUCUGGCGCUUGCGUCCGAGUUGUAAUUUGUAGAGGAUGAUUUUGGUUAGGUACCUUUCGAGUUCCUUGGAACAGGACGCCUUAGAGGGUGAGAGCCCCGUACGAUUGGAUGCCGAGCCUCUGUAAAUCUCCUUCGACGAGUCGAGUAGUUUGGGAAUGCUGCUCUAAAUGGGAGGUAAAUUUCUUCUAAAGCUAAAUAUUGGCCAGAGACCGAUAGCGCACAAGUAGAGUGAUCGAAAGAUGAAAAGCACUUUGAAAAGAGGGUUAAAUAGCACGUGAAAUUGUUGAAAGGGAAGGAUUUAUGACCAGACUUUUUCUAGGAGGAUCAUCCGGUGUUCUCACCGGUGCACUUCUUCUAGUCUAGGCCAGCAUCGACUUCUGGCGGCGGACAAAAGCUUCAGGAAUGUGGCUCCCUACGGGGAGUGUUAUAGCCUGUUGUAUAAUACGCUGCUGGGGGUCGAGGUACGCGCUUCUGCAAGGAUGCUGGCGUAAUGGUUAUCAAUCACCCGUCUUGAAACACGGACCAAGGAGUCGAACAUUUAUGCGAGUGUUUGGGUGUUAAACCCUCACGCGUAAUGAAAGUGAACGGAGGUGAGAGCCCUUACGGGUGCAUCAUCGACCGAUCCUGAAGUUUUCGGAUGGAUUUGAGUAAGAGCAUAACUGUUCGGACCCGAAAGAUGGUGAACUAUGCGUGGAUAGGGUGAAGCCAGAGGAAACUCUGGUGGAGGCUCGCAGCGGUUCUGACGUGCAAAUCGAUCGUCGAAUCUGCGCAUGGGGGCGAAAGACUAAUCGAACCAUCUAGUAGCUGGUAC
rnacentral:rRNA from 1 species